GGUGAUGCUGCAUCUGUGGGAUGGUGUGGUGCCGGUUAAUUUCUGCUAUGUAGGUUGUUUGGGUUAGCUCGUGGAAAACCAUGGGGUGCAAUGAGAUGUGGUUUUGCACGCCUCGUGAUCUGGGGGGCCUGGCCCUUACUAGUCCAUUCAUGUUCAGAACUGAACUGGAUCAAACCGCUGUUUGUUCCACAAAACACAAAUGAUAAUAGUGAUGGUGUGCUGUGCGGCAAUUGAAUGAGGCACCCAGCUUAUUAUCCUCUUAAGGGCCUGUUUGGCAACCAAGUGUUAAAAUUUAACACCUGUCACAUCGGAUGUUUGGAUGCUAAUUAGGAGUAUUAAAUAUAGGCUAAUUACAAAACUAAUUGCACAGAUGAAGUGUAAUUCACGAGACGAAUCUAUUAAGCCUAAUUAGUCCAUGAUUUGACAAUGUGGUGCUACAGUAACCAAUUGCUAAUGAUGGAUUAAUUAGGCUUAAUAGAUUCGUCUCGCGGAUUAGCACAGGGUUCUGCAAUUAGUUUUAUAAUUAGCUCAUAUUUAGUUCUCCUAAUUAGCAUCCGAACAUCCGAUGUGACACUGUUAAAGUUUAACACCUCGUAUCCAAACACCCCCUAAGAUUUUUUUUUUCCUGGGGUCCUUGUGUUCAUGCAUCCUUCUGCGUGGCCGUCAGGAACCAUUUUAGCCACUGUGCACGCUUUACUUUUCUGCUAAAAUGAAUCACUGCCAGUCCGGCUCAAUUUUGAGAGCUGCUGCCAUGCUCUCAAGUUGUUCGUCAGAAUUGUGCCUGGCAUAAUCUCUUGGACUUUGUUAAUGGUUGAGAUGGUUUCUGAUGUUAG
rnacentral:lncRNA from 1 species